ACGAAAGGGGCUAGCGUUGUUCGGAAUUACUGGGCGUAAAGCGCACGUAGGCGGCCUUGUAAGAUGGGGGUGAAAUCCCCGGGCUCAACCCGGGAACUGCCUUCAUGACUGCAAUGCUUGAGGAUGCGAGAGGUGAAUGGAAUUCCGAGUGUAGAGGUGAAAUUCGUAGAUAUUCGGAAGAACACCAGUGGCGAAGGCGAUUCACUGGCGCAUUUCUGACGCUGAGGUGCGAAAGCGUGGGGAGCAAACAGGA
rnacentral:rRNA from 1 species